rnacentral:rRNA from 1 species
CUACCAUGCAGUCGAGCGAGCUCUUCGGAGCUAGCGGCGGACGGGUUAGUAACGCGUGGGAACGUGCCCUUCACUGCGGAAUAGCCACUGGAAACGGUGAGUAAUACCGCAUACGCCCUUCGGGGGAAAGAUUUAUCGGUGAAGGAUCGGCCCGCGUUAGAUUAGAUAGUUGGUGGGGUAACGGCCUACCAAGUCUACGAUCUAUAGCUGGUUUUAGAGGAUGAUCAGCAACACUGGGACUGAGACACGGCCCAGACUCCUACGGGAGGCAGCAGUGGGGAAUCUUGGACAAUGGGCGCAAGCCUGAUCCAGCCAUGCCGCGUGAGUGAUGAAGGCCUUAGGGUCGUAAAGCUCUUUCGCCAGAGAUGAUAAUGACAGUAUCUGGUAAAGAAACCCCGGCUAACUCCGUGCCAGCAGCCGCGGUAAUACGGAGGGGGUUAGCGUUGUUCGGAAUUACUGGGCGUAAAGCGCACGUAGGCGGAUCAGAAAGUUGGGGGUGAAAUCCCGGGGCUCAACCCCGGAACUGCCUCCAAAACUCCUGGUCUUGAGUUCGAGAGAGGUGAGUGGAAUUCCGAGUGUAGAGGUGAAAUUCGUAGAUAUUCGGAGGAACACCAGUGGCGAAGGCGGCUCACUGGCUCGAUACUGACGCUGAGGUGCGAAAGUGUGGGGAGCAAACAGGAUUAGAUACCCUGGUAGUCCACACCG